rnacentral:misc_RNA from 1 species
UGAUAAGACGUUACAGUCCGAUUGAAUGUUACAUGUAUAUUCGAAGUUCACAAACCAGCAAUCUUAUGCACCCCUUUGUACAUAUAUGUACAUAGUCUUUGCUGUAAUAAAUGGCUAAUAUGAUACAUAUGUCUACCUAUCUGCCCUGUAUGAUCUGUUAUCAUUGUCUGUGUGUAUGUCUGUGUUUGUUGAUUUGCAUUGAAGACAUCAUCUAUAGAUUUUGCAUUCCAACACAGUGUGCAUCAGUAGCUCCAACAAUUUGAGUAUUACACAGUUACAUGUGGUAAUAUAAUAGUUACAUGGAAUAAUGUUACAGUUACAUGUAGUCAAGUAGAUGAAGCUAAUGUUGAUGUAGACAUUGCUUAAAAAUGGAGUAAUUUUGUCAACAGUGUGGGAUAUUCUAUUGUUCUAUGAAGUCAUGCUUCAUCCAUGUCAUUCAUUUGAACUUGACCUGAAUGUAUGAAGCAUUUUAUUGUGAUUCUUGUUUUUGCUAACUUUCAGUGUGUAUUGUAAAAAGGAACCAAUUCUUGUUUUUAUAUUGAACAAAAAUUUCAGUCAUAAGGGUGACUAUGGCUUUGCCUUUGUUUUGUAUGGAACCACUCACAGAACAAACUCUUUUUUUACUGGUUGAUUGAGAUCACAGAGUUAACAAUGUGUCCACACAAGUUCAUUUAUUGGUGAAAGCUGGGCUUUUUUUUUAAGCUCUCUGUGCUGACCUCCUUUUUAAAUGUGCAAUAUAGAACUGGCUUAUUCAUUGGUUUAUUUACUGCAGGGAUUUAAUUCUGUGUUAUUUUCUAUUCCUUUAAUUUUUUUCUUGUUUGCCACAUUGAUCAAACCUCUAGAUGGUGCUCAUUAAAUUUAUGAUCUGAAGAUCUAAGAAAGAUAACUCUGAGACUGCCAUUUUGAAAACAGAGAAGAAUAACCAAGGUGUGUUGUUAGGUGCUUUCAUUAAAUGUGAACAUUUUUGGUCAUCACCCGUCAAUGAAUUCCUUUUUCAAGUAUCUAGAUGAUAACUUAAUAUAUAUUCAUAUCAACAUGCCUGUAGUUUUGUUACAGUUAAAAAUUGUGUGAUAAUCUUUACAGGAAAUAUACAAUUGAUCAUGAUGAAA